rnacentral:rRNA from 1 species
AGAGUUUGAUCAUGGCUCAGAUUGAACGCUGGCGGCAGGCCUAACACAUGCAAGUCGAGCGCGAAAAGCUUUCGGGCUGAGUAGAGCGGCGGACGGGUGAGUAACGCGUAGGAAUCUACCUGGUAGUGGGGGACAACUUGGGGAAACUCAAGCUAAUACCGCAUACGCCCUAAGGGGGAAAGCGGGGGACCUUCGGGCCUCGCGCUAUCGGAUGAGCCUGCGUAGGAUUAGCUAGUUGGUGGGGUAAAGGCCCACCAAGGCGACGAUCCUUAGCUGGUCUGAGAGGAUGAUCAGCCACACUGGAACUGAGACACGGUCCAGACUCCUACGGGAGGCAGCAGUGGGGAAUAUUGCGCAAUGGGCGAAAGCCUGACGCAGCCAUGCCGCGUGUGUGAAGAAGGCCUUAGGGUUGUAAAGCACUUUCAAUUGGGAAGAAAAGUUUGUCGUUAAUAGCGCCAAGCUCUGACAUUACCUUUAGAAGAAGCACCGGCUAACUCCGUGCCAGCAGCCGCGGUAAUACGGAGGGUGCGAGCGUUAAUCGGAAUUACUGGGCGUAAAGCGCGCGUAGGCGGUUUGUUAAGUCAGCUGUGAAAGCCCCGGGCUCAACCUGGGAACUGCAGUUGAUACUGGCCGACUAGAGUACGAGAGAGGGAGGUAGAAUUCCAUGUGUAGCGGUGAAAUGCGUAGAUAUAUGGAGGAAUACCAGUGGCGAAGGCGGCCUCCUGGCUCGAUACUGACGCUGAGGUGCGAAAGCGUGGGGAUCAAACAGGAUUAGAUACCCUGGUAGUCCACGCCGUAAACGAUGUCUACUAGCCGUUGGGAGACUUGAUUUCUUAGUGGCGCAGCUAACGCAAUAAGUAGACCGCCUGGGGAGUACGGCCGCAAGGUUAAAACUCAAAUGAAUUGACGGGGGCCCGCACAAGCGGUGGAGCAUGUGGUUUAAUUCGAUGCAACGCGAAGAACCUUACCAGGUCUUGACAUCCCGAGAAGUCGCUAGAGAUAGCUUCGUGCCUUCGGGAACUCGGUGACAGGUGCUGCAUGGCUGUCGUCAGCUCGUGUCGUGAGAUGUUGGGUUAAGUCCCGUAACGAGCGCAACCCUUGUCCUAUGUUGCCAGCACGUAAUGGUGGGAACUCAUAGGAGACUGCCGGUGAC